rnacentral:rRNA from 1 species
AGUGAACGCUGGCGGUAGGCCUAACACAUGCAAGUCGAACGGCAGCACAGUAAGAGCUUGCUCUUACGGGUGGCGAGUGGCGGACGGGUGAGGAAUACAUCGGAAUCUACUUUUUCGUGGGGGAUAACGUAGGGAAACUUACGCUAAUACCGCAUACGACCUACGGGUGAAAGCAGGGGAUCUUCGGACCUUGCGCGAUUGAAUGAGCCGAUGUUGGAUUAGCUAGUUGGCGGGGUAAAGGCCCACCAAGGCGACGAUCCGUAGCUGGUGUGAGAGGAUGAUCGGCCACACUGGAACUGAGACACGGACCAUGCUCCUACGGGAGGCAGCAGUGGGGAAUGUUGGACAAUGGGCGCAAGCCUGGUCCAGCCAUACCGCGUGGGUGAAGAAGGCCUUCGGGUUGUAAAGCCCUUUUGUUGGGAAAGAAAAGCAGCAGGUUAAUACCCCGCUGUUCUGACGGUACCCAAAGAAUAAGCACCGGCUAACUUCGUG